CCACUAGGGGAGCCAUUAUAUGGCUGAGACGGGAAAAAUCUUGGACCCUUUGAACCUGAUCUAGUUCAUACUAGCGUAGGAAAGUGGAGACC
rnacentral:ncRNA from 1 species